GAAGAAGUGGAUCUUCUAAAAACAGUCAUUUUGUUUCCACGUCUUCCCCCCCACCACCCCUUACACCUCGAGAGACGGAGCGGGCUGAUUCUCUGCGUGAAGUGCCUCUCUACGCUCUCAAAACUUACAUCAUGCAUUGUUUCACUGGCUGGCAUGUUUAGCGGGCUCUUGGCCCAUUUGGGUGCUGGAUUGAGUGUGUGUAGGUUAGUGGGUGGGCAGCAGGAGUGGGUUCUCUGUGAGGGGCAGUAGAUGCUGGAAUUCCUAAUAGAAGGUAAUUGAAAAUGAGCACUUAGAAGCCGUUGGCUGGUAUUUUCCUCGUACAUGAGGAAAGGCUGCAGUAAUCAUGUGCUAGACUCUGUUGUACUCAACAUUCAAUGGAAGGGCUCAUUAGUGGAUACUAUGCAUUAUAUAGGUGUUCAACAUACAUUUCACAGAAAAAGAAAAAAUAACCAGAUCAUGCGCUCGCUCUAACAACUUUUUGCAGCCUGCUGAAGGAGUCCCUUGCAGAUAUUACACUGAACUCCUUUGGGGGUUUUAUGUACAUGUGCUGGCUUGGCUUGAGUCAGUUUAACACAUCGCGGGAUUUGCAUCUCCAUUACAACCCGCUUGAAGGGUCGAUGACAUUUAAAAGCAGCGCCCUCUUUAGCACGAUUUACUCAAGUUAGUCUAGCAAAGCUGCACCAUUGAAUCAUUUUAGCCAUUCAAGUUAACAGAGGGUUGAACCGGAAAUUAGCGGCUCGUCCUUGAAUGAUGAUAAAGGCCAUCUGACAUUUCUGCAACCCGUUUGGACGUGGGUCGGGUGUGCUUUGACCUGACUUCAGAGAUGGUCCAUCUCAGGUGCGACUCUGUGCGUUUAAGCUGGUAAUGGAAAGGCAAACAACACGGCAUGGUUUGACUUGGCAUGGCCAAAAGUGCCAGUGGAAAAAGGCUACUUGUCGCUGCAGGGCAGGGGGCAGCAGCCUUGAAAGUUUUACUGAAAUGUGACAAAAUUCAACGAGUAGGUUGCUCAAGGAGAAAGAACCUCUUCUUCAGUAUUACUUUCUCCUGUCUUUAUCCAUUGCUUUCAGGACAAAUGGUACUCUUAGCCUUAGCUACUUUUGCCACCCUCUGAUAGAUUUGAGCAGUCGCUAUAGGCUUUCAGCGGAUGCUUCACACAGAUUAAGACCUUGUCACAUUUGUGCAAUUUGAAAAGCAAAAAAUAAACUCUUUUAAGAAUGCUGAUUAUGAAGUAUGGUUACUGCACUGAAGGACACGUUGUCAAGAGAGUGGAAGAUGGUGAAAUGGUCAGAAAAUUGUGCUGAAUGGCAAAAUAACGCUUCUAUUUGCCUCCAUUGUGUUCUAUGAGGGUGUGCAGAUACAAAAUCUAUUUAGAGGGGUAACCUUGGGAGUGGAAACAACUUGAUUUAAAGAAGAGAGACACAGAGGAAAAGAGUAAGAGACAAGAAAGGAGUUGCCUGAAAGGUAGAGCACACAGUCAGAGGUCACAUGAUCCUGUUCCAGUUCUGAUAAUCCACACAUUUAAACGGUUCGACAGCGAUGGAACUGAAAUUCUAUAGCCAUCCGCCUCACUCAAUCAGCCACAAUAUCUUGCUCCAGCAAACAGAAGCUGUGGUGCUGCCGCUUAGCACCAGGAUAAUGAUCAGAUUAAAAGCUUUGACUGGUGAGACUUGGACUAAUGCCAGGUGAUGGGAGCAAUUUGCUGCCCAAUCAGCUCCAAACGAAGGAGGGAGAAGUGCACCAUUGGCUGCUGACAACAGCAGGGAGGGGUUAUGGGGGCUAAGAGAGAGGGUUUGGAAGCAUCCCAACCCCAAAAAGCAGCUGGUGAUUCAACAGUUCCUAUUGUCAGAUUCCAUUACAUCCCCCCAUGUCUUUGUCUUUCUUUCCCUCUCGCUCUAUGUCUCUGUCCCUCCCUAAUCAAGUCCUUUCCCUGUCUUCCUCACUUUCACUCAAAAAAAAUGGAUGGUCAGCAGAAGGCCUUUUCACUGAAGAAUAUUUCUGUGUUUGGCUUCAGCCACGUAUGCACGCACACACGCGCUCACACAAAAGCCUACGCAAGGUGCAAACAUAGAAAAGACACACACAGUGCAAGGUGAAGGAAGAAAUAAAGAGAAGGAAGUGGGGGUGAAAAAAACAAAUGGUGAGCAGACACUGAGGAGAUGUCUUUGUCAGUGAGAGAAAGACAUGAGUGGGCCGGCGCGCUAAUCAUCGAUCGGAUGAUUAAGGCAGAUGAGGAGGGCUUUUUCCCCCAGUGAAGGAUCUGAUUGUUGGUCUCCUCCCGCCUGGUGUCCAGGGAGCACGCCGGCGGCAGCAGCUCAAGAUCAAUACACUCAAUCACGGCUGAGAGGGGCAGCGUCAGUCACGCUGUGCCAGACUAUUAGAACCAAGUAGGCAGACAGUGAAUAACUCCAUGCUUCCCUAGUCCCACCUCAUACCAAAGGGGGAUGAACUGCCUGGCUAGCUGACUGGAAUGUGUGUGUACAUGUCUGUCUGUGCAUGAAUGUGUGUAAUUGUCACACCUGCUUCUUCUGUGAUUAAAGGAAUAGUUUGACAUUUUGGGAUAUACGCUUAUUCCCUUUGUUGCUAAGAGUUGAAUGAGAAGGUUUAUACUAUUCUUAUGUCUGUCAGCUAAAAAGCUACAGUCGGGAACUGCCCGUUAUUCUGAAACCUCAAUAGUUUGAAAAAUGUCCCAUUGGACCAAAAGCCCAUAGUCAGACAGCACAAUGUCCCGAAAAAUAAAAGCUCCGAAGGCCUGUUGCUCCGAAAACACACACACUGGAGUUGGAGUUAAGUGACUGCCGGCCUUACAACUUUCCAGACUCUGUUAACAUAUUGCUCAGUUUAACAGAUAACAUAUAAAUCUUAACAUAAAUCAGAAUGUAUGACUUAGUAUGACUCCUAAAGAAAUACUUUUCAUUUUGGCUGAUAUUUAACUUUAACAGCUCUUCUGUGAACUAAGUUAAAUAACUUCUAUAAUGUGUGAUUUCCUUAAAUCAGAGUUCGGCUUUGCGAAACAUGACACCGAAUUUAACAGAAGAACUUAGUGAAUUGUGAAAAGUCUGUUUGAUAAGUUAAUUUACAUUUUAAAUGACUGACGACGAGGCAAAUAAAGUCUUCAGCUGUUUCCUAAUGUUGGAGGACCUCUGUCAUCUUUUGCCCUUAAUAUCUUAGUGUAUUUUGAUGUGCUUGUGAAAAUGCAAUGUUUUAUGGUGUGAUAACGCUGUGGUUAAGGUCUGGUAAAGAUCAUGGUUUGGGUUAAAAUGAUCACUUGCGCAUGUAUUUUUGGAGCAACAGGCUUUCAGAGCAGUGGGCUUUUGUUUUCGGGAUAAUGGGCCAUCAGACUAUGGGCUUUUGGUCCAAUGACGACAUCAUCCUAUGUGGAGGGUGAAAGACUUGUUAGCGGUGUGAGAAAGGAGGAGAAGGGAGGAUAGCACUUCACCGACAGCUGUGUCCCUGACAGACAAUGGAUGGCCCGGAUCCAUCUGGAUGCAGCAGCCCUGGACCAACAUGAUGUAUACAUCUUCACUAGCCAAUGGGUGCCAUCAAUCCCUCCUUCACCAUGGUGACCGGGGGUGACAGCUAGCCAUGGACCAUGGUAUCUAUCUGCAACCUUGUCAGCCGAGCAGUGGAGAUGCAAAGAGGAAUUGGAGGAACGGCCUUGCUACAGGACCAUUCUGAAUGUGUUAACAGCGCCGCUUCCCUUGAACUGUCACAACUUGAAAAUCCACCGUGUUAAGAGCUUCACGUGCAGGCAGCCAUGAAUAUCUGCCAUUUCCAUAGACUUGGCCACAGAGGCUCUUAAAAAGCACUUGUUGUAAUACAUGACCAAUUUCCCGGCAGCGAGUGCAGGGGAGUAUUAACAUCUCCUCAGCCUGGUUCGGUUUAAUGUGAUGGAGAUGUUAUUAGAGCCAUCACAGGCCCAAAUGAAUGGCCAGUGGAAGCGCCACAGCAGGAGAGAGAGGGGGGAACACAUCGACCUUCGCCUUACCAAGGACAAGGACACUUGUGCUCGUAAAAAGGGGUGGUCCAAUUGUUCACACCAGCCAUGGCUGCUGAACCAAGCCUUGGAGCCAGGCUUACAUGUUCAUAUUGCACUCUUUAGUCAGCUCGUAUUCCAAUGAAUUUCUUUGAUUCUCAAGUUUAAACAUACCACUGAUUCUGCUGAAAUUUCAGCCUUGACUAAAAUAAAAAUUUAGUUUUACUUUCCAGUCCAAUCCAGCAUCUAAUGACUACAAGUCUAUUAAAUACCAUAUUCUUUAUAUAAAUACACCAAUAAACUUCAAGGACAGAUAAAAUUGUAUGAAUCUGCUAUAUUUAAUUUGCUAUAUUGAAUCAUUUUCUAAUCAUUUAUAGAGAUGUAAUGCCUAUGAAAUCAAAUCAUUUAGUUGUGAUGCACAGGUGUUCAGAAAUGUUAAUUCAUAUAUGGUGGUGAUUAUGUGAAAUUCCCUGUGAUUUUGCACUUUAACUUGUGUAAUAAAAACACUUUAAUUUCUACAA